GGACAUAGUUUAGCUGGUAAAACGUUGGUCUUCCAAACCAUUGUGGCGAGUUCGAAUCUCGUUGUCCG
rnacentral:tRNA from 1 species